ACAGUGGGGAUGUGGGAGGAUACAGGAAUGAUGCAGGAUGGCUGAGAUCUGGUAGCAGUUCUAUCUCUGGAAACGACAGCCCAUCCACAGAAGCCACAUGGGUUCGGACCCACAGGGCCCGCAGGAGGACAGAGAGAGAUAAAGAGCUCUAGACUGCUGCUCUGGGCCUUUUGUUUUCUGUGGGCCACUGCUCUACACCCAGUGACUGUUAUCUGGAGAUUAAGGCUUUAUUGUGAGCACAGCUGCCAGAAAAUAAUGUAGAGAUUCUGAGCAAAUCUGUUCACUAAUUCCUAGCGUGUCUAAAGCAAGCACAGUGUAGGGGGGCAGAGAGAUUGAGAUUGUUUUCCUCCAAGUGAUGUUGUGUUGUGGAUGGAGCCCCAGCAUAUUGAUAACGAACAGCUCUCCAAGUGGUUCCCUCAGUCCGCAGAGUGCCUGUUUGUCACAGGCCCGGUGUCACAACUUCCUGCGCUGGUGCAACGCAUUGUUCCACUUCAGCACAUCUGCUCAGUGCUGGUUCUGACACUCGUCUGGGCUGUAUUGACACAUACAGAUUUGGAAACAUUUUUUUCACAGAAAUAAAUUCCACAGCUUCCAGGAAGACAUUUCCUCUAGAAUGAAGAAAUUCUGCUAGUUUAACACUUCAAACUCGAGCCCCGAGGAGAGGAAAGCACUGCUCCCACUUACAGCCCUUAUAAACUACACGUGCCUCAGCGCUAGGAAGCCUGUCC